UACGUAGGGUGCAAGCGUUGUCCGGAUUUACUGGGCGUAAAGGGCGCGUAGGCGGCGUGACAAGUCACUUGUGAAAUCUCCGGGCUUAACUCGGAGCGGCCAAGUGAUACUGUCGUGCUAGAGUGCGGAAGGGGCUACUGGAAUUCUCGGUGUAGCGGUGAAAUGCGUAGAUAUCGAGAGGAACACCUGCGGCGAAAGCGGGUAGCUGGGCCGACACUGACGCUGAGGCGCGAAAGCUAGGGGAGCGAACAGG
rnacentral:rRNA from 1 species